GGAACAAUGAGGCAGGUCCCCAGACUUGUCAAACAAAUUGGCAGAAAUUUUGAGUACAAAUUUGUUGCGCCGCUGUUCUAGGCGUUGGUCAGGUCGCGUGUGGCACGAGGGGCUCUUCCAUAAAUCGGACAAAAUCUCCCCUCCGAAGCAAAAAAAUCCAUGGAUAUGGCCCCCAUCAACGCAGGGGCAUCACACCGGAGCUGACGUGCCCACUACCAAUCCACUGGAGUUUAACCUUUGUGGCAUGUAAAAGACGAAUGAUACUCGGUUUUAAUUUCAUCGAAAGACGAUAGUGUUACGAACUCGUUACGUUACGAAGUAGUGUGUGGACUACAUUUCCAACAAGGACUGUUUUGCAUAUUGUUGUGAUUCAUCAUUCAUAGUACUAGGGCAAAUGUUGCACUUUACUUGAAUUGAACUUAAAAAUUCGAUUUGUUCAAUUUUUUGAAAUGUGCUGACACGCAAAAAACAUCGAUAUUUCCAUAAUGCAAAUGUUCUGGAAAAAAUUAAAUUUCAACAAUUAAUACCAUUAAAAGUUUGUUGAAUUGAAAA